AAACUCUGUUAUUAGGGAAGAACAAAUGUGUAAGUAACUAUGCACGUCUUGACGGUACCUAAUCAGAAAGCCACGGCUAACUACGUGCCAGCAGCCGCGGUAAUACGUAGGUGGCAAGCGUUAUCCGGAAUUAUUGGGCGUAAAGCGCGCGUAGGCGGUUUUUUAAGUCUGAUGUGAAAGCCCACGGCUCAACCGUGGAGGGUCAUUGGAAACUGGAAAACUUGAGUGCAGAAGAGGAAAGUGGAAUUCCAUGUGUAGCGGUGAAAUGCGCAGAGAUAUGGAGGAACACCAGUGGCGAAGGCGACUUUCUGGUCUGUAACUGACGCUGAUGUGCGAAAGCGUGGGGAUCAAAC
rnacentral:rRNA from 1 species